CGAACGCUGGCGGCGUGCCUAAUACAUGCAAGUAGCACGCUGAAGGAGGAGCUUGCUUCUCUGGAUGAGUUGCGAACGGGUGAGUAACGCGUAGGUAACCUGCCUGGUAGCGGGGGAUAACUAUUGGAAACGAUAGCUAAUACCGCAUAAUAUUGACUAUUGCAUGAUAGUCAGUUGAAAGGUGCAACUGCACCACUACCAGAUGGACCUGCGUUGUAUUAGCUAGUUGGUGGGGUAACGGCUCACCAAGGCGACGAUACAUAGCCGACCUGAGAGGGUGAUCGGCCACACUGGGACUGAGACACGGCCCAGACUCCUACGGGAGGCAGCAGUAGGGAAUCUUCGGCAAUGGACGGAAGUCUGACCGAGCAACGCCGCGUGAGUGAAGAAGGUUUUCGGAUCGUAAAGCUCUGUUGUAAGAGAAGAACGAGUGUGAGAGUGGAAAGCUCACACUGUGACGGUAUCUUACCAGAAAGGGACGGCUAACUACGUG
rnacentral:rRNA from 1 species